CCUACGGGGAGGCAGCAGUAGGGAAUAUUGGUCAAUGGACGAGAGUCUGAACCAGCCACGCCGCGUGCAGGAAGAAGGCGUUAUGCGUUGUAAACUGCUUUUGACAGGGGACAAAGAGUGGAUGCGUCCAAAGAUGAGUGUACCUGUAGAAUAAGCACCGGCUAACUACGUGCCAGCAGCCGCGGUAAUACGUAGGGUGCAAGCGUUGUCCGGAUUUAUUGGGUUUAAAGGGAGCGUAGGCGGCCAAAUAAGUCAGUGGUGAAAGAAAUGGGCUUAACCCAUGAGCUGCCAUUGAUACUGUUUGGCUUGAGUACUGAUGAGGUAGGCGGAAUUGACAGUGUAGCGGUGAAAUGCUUAGAUAUUGUCAAGAACACCGAUUGCGAAGGCAGCUUACUAAGGAGUUACUGACGCUGAGGCUCGAAAGCGUGGGGAUCGAACAGGAUUAGAUACCCCAGUAGUC
rnacentral:rRNA from 1 species